UUGAAAUGGAGCCUCUGGAUCCUGCCAAGAAUGAGUGAGUGAAAAUGAUGUUAUUGUGUCUUAUAUGCUUUGUGCCUGAACCUCAAAGCAACAAACUACACAUUACCUAAAGGCCAUCUUUAGAUCUGACUUGUGAUGAUGACUGUAAUUACAUUGUAUAUGAUAAUUAUAACUACACACCUGUGCUCAGUACUGUGCUUCAUGUUUUGUGUCACAGUGAAGGCGGUGGAUUCUCUAAGCAGCGCAUUUCUUCGGUCAGUACUACAAAUAUAUUUAUGGACAAAGUAUAUAUACAUUUACGUGAACAAAUCAUUUUCCUGAACCAUAACAUCUGCCAUUUCUCAUUUGUAGAUUUUAAAAGCACCACGGAGAUCAAUCAGAUUCCCUGACCCACAGCAACAGGAAAAUGUGGUGGAGUGUGGCAACCAGGGGAAAAGAGGAAUUCAAGAAGAGUCAGUUUUGCCCCUGCCAACGAUGUUCUCCUGUUUUCAAAGGAUGUAAAAAAUGAUUGUCCUGUCCGGAGUCCUUUACAAGACUUGCCAACAACAACAACAGCAGCCACACAGAAUAGGGUCCAGGUGGCAGUCACUGAUGAUGGGAUUCAACAAAUUAUGGGUAAACUUUUCAACUUCAAACAACUAUUACCACAUGAAAUCAUCACAUUAUCUGUCACAGUGUGAGAUGACGCUUACUAAAGUCAAGUCUUCACAUUUAGGGAUGGAAACCCUGCUGAAUGCUCCUCUACAUGCUUCUCAACAAAGGGAUAAGGUCAACUUCGAUACUGUGGGUGACUUAGGGGAGAAAACGGUGAUGUUCUCUGAUGAUGCAUUCAUGGACAUGACCCACAGUCACACUAUAAACAUUGCCAGUGAUGCAGAACUCCAAAGCUAUGUCGCUUUACCCACGAGAGGAGACAGAACCGUGAUGUUCACUGAGAAUGAUGCAUCCAUGGAUAUGACCCUCAGUGUUCCAGUAUCACUACCCAUGAGUAGAAACAUGGAUUCGAGUGUAGAGAAGAAAAACAUAUCUUCAUCAGUGCCAUCGUUGGAUCCUGGAUUUGAAAACUUCUUUGCAAGUCUUUCUAAACCAAGGGGCGCAAAUCCUGCGAUCCCCAGAAUGACGUCUGCUGCUGGCGCAUCCUCUGAAGAAACAAACGGCUCCGUGGGCCAGAUAAAAACCCAAGGCGCUGAUGUGGACAAAGAAAAUCAGGCUCCAACUUCAGUUUCAGCUGUGAUGAGGAAGUCACUAAAUGCAUCCAGGAAGAUUGGUGAAUUAUCUUACGGAAGUGCCCUCUGUCCGGAAGAUGAUUUGAGCAUGGAUAUGACUGAAGCUCAGACAGGCCGCAUUAUAGGACUCACUGAUGAUCACUUUCAGUUUCUCUUUCCCACACAAGACAUGUACUCUCACCGUGACAACAGAGUGCCGCAGACAGCAGAGAAGACCAAACCGCAGAUCAGUAAAACAUCGACAUCAUUCAACCCUAAAGAUGUGACAUCUUGGACGAAUCCUUCUCGGCAUGCUUCUCAUCAAAGCCUCAAGGUCAACCUUGAUGCACAAGAUGAAGGCAGAGAGAAAACAAUAAUGUCCACUGCAGGUGAUGAGUUUAUGGAUAUGACUCGGAGUCACACCGUUCGCAUUGCCAGUGGUUCAUUAGCUCUUCCGAACCAAAACGUGGACAUUUUUCACCCUCGUGGGAAAAUGGACGACGCUUCAUCUCUGCAGGAGCGAAACCCGCCUGGCUCGUCAGCUAAUUGUUUGGAUCUAGGAUUAAAAAACUUCCUUUCAAGUCUCUAUAAAGCAGGCACCCCCAGUGGUAAUCCUUCUACUGCAGCAUCCUCUGAGGAAACUGUCAACACAAACCGCUCCCUGUCGCAGCUUGAAAGUAAUGUUGGUAAAGAAAAUCGGUCAACAAGGAGCUUUGGAGAAUCUUUUAAUGGAGGCACAAUCUGUCCUGAAAAUGAUGUGAGCAUGGAUAUGACUGAAGCUCAGACGGGCCGCAUUGUAGGACUCACUGGCUCAGAUGAUCCUUUCCAGUUUCUCUUUCCCACACAAGACAAGUACCCCCACGGUGAAAGUCUGAGGACACAAGAGAUCACUUCAGGACCGAAGAGCAGCGAAGUGCUGGGAUCAUCUCACCGUCUGGAACCCUCAUUGAAGCCACUUUUGAAGACAAAUGUACAAAGAAAUCCGGUCAAAUUUGACACCGAAGACGACUACAGAGAGAAAACAGUGAGGUUUUCUGCAGAUGACGCCUGUAUGGAUGUAACACGAAGUCACACUGUAAAUAUUUCAGCUGAUUUACAACGGCAAUCGCUCCAAAAUGUGGCCUUUUUACCUGCAUGUGGAGAGAAGACCGUGAGGUUCACUGCAAACGAUGCAGCGAUGGAUAUGACCCAGAGCCUCACUGUGAACAUUUCCAGUAAUUUAGCAUCGGAUUCAGUUCCUGUGAAGAAACAAGAAGGUGUGAGAUGUGGUCCGCCUACAAACAGAUCCUUCAUCAGCACGCAGUUUGGAUCCAAGGUUUAA
rnacentral:lncRNA from 1 species